CGGUAAAAGCUCAAAUUUGAAAUCUGGCUCUUUUAGAGUCCGAAUUGUAAGUUAGAGAAGUGUUAUCCGCGCUGGACCGUGUACAAGUCCCUUGGAAUAGGGCAUCAUAGAGGGUGAGAAUCCCGUCUUUG
rnacentral:rRNA from 1 species